AGGAUUAACGCUGGCGGCGUGCCUAACACAUGCAAGUCGAACGAGGUAGCAAUACCUAGUGGCAGACGGGUGAGUAGCGCGUGGUCAACCUACCGUUGAGUGGGGGAUAACUAGCCGAAAGGUUAGCUAAUACCGCAUACGUCUCCGAGGGGCAUCCCUUGGCGAUAAAAGGAGCAAUCCGCUCGAUGACGGGACCGCGUCCCAUUAGCUAGUUGGUGGGGUAACGGCCUACCAAGGCGUCGAUGGGUAGCUGGUUUGAGAGAGCGACCAGCCACACUGGGACUGAGAUACGGCCCAGACUCCUACGGGAGGCAGCAGUGAGGAAUUUUCCGCAAUGGGCGAAAGCCUGACGGAGCGACGCCGCGUGUGGGAAGAAGGCCUUCGGGUCGUAAACCACUGUCGAAGGGGAAGAUAAUGACGGUACCCUUGGAGGAAGCCCGGCUAACUACGUGCCAGCAGCCGC
rnacentral:rRNA from 1 species